rnacentral:lncRNA from 1 species
CCAGGUUUCUUCUACCUGGUAGCUCUACUGUCCUUCAGAACCUCAGAGCCCUGUGCUUUCAGCCAGCAGCAGAAAGACCACUACUAAGUCAUUCACUUUGGGAGAAGCCAGUCUUCAUGCCAUGAGGACGUUCAGGCAGCCAUGUGGAGAGAACCACGUGGAAAGGAUCUGAGGUCUCUCACCAGCACCAAUUUGCCAGCUAUGGGAAUGGGCCACCUUGGAAGGAGACUGUCCAGCCCAAGUGAAGGCUGCAGAUAACUGCAGCUUUGGCCAACAUUUGGCUAUAUUGCUUUGGGAAAUCUCAAGCCAGAACCAUCUGGCCAAGCUGCUCUUAAAUUCCU